CUGAUUCUCGUUUAAAGUUGAACCAUCAUUCGAACUCCUCUUAUACGAGUCUGAUCCGCUCUAUUGUGGUUGUAUGGUCGCCACACCUCUGUUCGACGCCACCGGUUCAGUCGUUCCAGAUCUCAAUCUCUGGUUCAUUCCGGUCACAGGUACCUAGUCGCCGAUUCGAAACCAUCAGAUAGACUGCCCGCACCCCAGUGACCACAACGAUCGCCGCCACAACCACCGCGAUCGCCGCCACACCUAGUUCAAAGCUUUUGAUUAGCGUCUCCGACUCACCAACUGCGACCAUCUCUAUUCAUUGUCUUAUAUAAUCGUCUCCGCACCUCCGUCUGUCGCGAAAUUUUGUCAUUUGAUGCCUCCGAUCCGCAAUCAGUUGUAUUCCGACGACUUCGACAACCGUCACCAACGGACGAACCACCACUUCCUGUCUUAAUCGUUGCCGCCGUGACUACGCGUAAACCGGCUAUUCCUUCGUUUGGCUCGGUUUCUGUCCGAUCAGAAGUGGAAGGUUCGCUUACGAAUUAAGGACGGACUGGUUUUUGAAUUGCUUUGCUUGCUCAAUCAAGGUAAUCAAGGGAAACGGGGAUGAGGGAGAGAAAAAAAUGAAGUUUAUGAAGUUUUUGAAGUUUCCGUGUUUACUUAUUUUUUUAGUAAUUGAAUAAUAUAAGACCUAGGUUUUCUGGUGGAUUCGAGACUUUUGUUUCUUGGUUUCUAUCGUUUAUUGAAACUCUUUGGUUUUUGAU